GCCUACGGCCAUGCCAUUCUGAACAUGCCUGAUCUUGGAAGCUAAGCAGGGUUGGUUAGUACGUGGAUGGGAGACCACCUGGGAAUACUGGGUGCUGUAGGCU
rnacentral:rRNA from 1 species